AUGACGGGGAACGUGGACCUCUUGCUGGGCACCCACGCUGCCCCAUUCAGCACCGUUUCUUCAGUCACAGGACACACAAUGUCGUCCUAUCUGUGCGGCCGCGUAACCGGGACCGUGAACCUCUUCGGGGUCCGCUACUUCCCCGGAGCCCCCAACCUCAUCUCCAGCGGCCAUCUCAUUCAACUCGGGUGCACCACUACCAUGGACCCACAGGAGGGCUUCACUGUAUGGAGGAACGGCAUAGCCGUUGGCAGAAAGGCCGGAACACAUCUUGCAAAGCGUGGACUGGCAAAAGUGAUUUACGGCGAGGUAGUGGCGGCCACAAAAUCAUCUAAAGGCGCAGGCGGGGUGCUUAGAAAUCUACAAAGGAGAUACAGAUCAAGCUUUUCUGGUCAGAGGGUACGGGGCCAAUCCGACGCAGAAGGAACUGCUAAUUCAGAACCGGUUGGCCCAUGCAAUGCCUUGGACAAUAAUUUUAAGAUCUUCAUGACUAUUGCAGCUAAUGGCCUUGUGUUCUGGGCCGGUACCGCUCUGUAUAACAGAUCCGAUAAGCUAGGCACUGUAACCUAUGUCAAGAGAUCGGAUGAGGCUGCGGAUGAAGAAUAUCAUAAAUUUUACGGUGUGAAGAGAGCGUCCAUUUAUUCAGGCACGUGGUCCAGUGAUGUCAAGGGGGGCACCGGAAAAAGCCGUGACUUGGAUGAAAUGAACAAAGUGUUGGAUGAUGUGAUCAAAGAGUUGGAUGAUGUGAAGAAAGCUACCAGAGAUUCAAGCAGGAAGCUGAACAAAUUGUUCGACGAUGUGAAGAAAGAGUAUGAUCCGAAAGACGUGUCCAUGCAAUCAACCACGACAUUUUGUGAUGUCAAAGGAGUUGACGAAGCCAAAGCUGAGCUCGAGGAUAUUGUACACUACCUAAGAAAUCCCAAGAAUUUCACGCGCCUUGGGGGCAAACUUCCAAAUGGUGUUUUGCUUGUUGGCCCACCGGGCACAGGGAAGACCAUGUUGGCAAAGGCUGUGGCUGGGGAAGCUGGUGUCCCGUUCUUUGCGUGCAGCGGCGGCGAUUUUGAGGAGAAAUAUGUUGGUGUUGGUCCUAAGAGAGUGAGAGAUCUCUUCGGUGCUGCAAAGGAGCGGUCCCCUUGCAUAAUAUUCAUCGAUGAGAUUGAUGCGGUUGUUGGAACCAGGAACUCAUAUGAUUCAAAGUCAUGUAGGCAGACCUUGAACCAGCUGCUUGUUGAGAUGGAUGGAUUCAAGCAGAAUGAUGGGAUCAUCAUUCUAGCGGCGACCAACUGCCCCGAGUCGCUAGAUAAAGCUGUUACUAGACCUGGGCGUUUUGACUGUCAUGUUCAGGUUCCUAAUCCAGAUUUUGAGGGCCGGCGGCAGAUCCUCGAGGGUUGUAUGUCAAAGGUACAUGCUUUGUCCAGAAAGAUAUUUUGUCCUCGUAGUCUUCAGUGCAAGUCUGCAAGACUUCAGGUCAAAGCCAAGGGUGUGGAUCUGAGGACCAUUGCGAGGGGGACACCAGGAUUCUCGGGUGCAGACCUUACAAACUUGGUGAAUGUUGCUGCUCUGAAGGCUACCAAGGAUGAGGCAGAAGCUGAAGAUGACUGCAUACCACGCGGGAGGGAGGGCCCUUGUUGCUAUCCACACAGAUGA
rnacentral:rRNA from 1 species